UACGUAGGGACCAAGCGUUGUUCGGAUUUACUGGGCGUAAAGGGCGCGUAGGCGGCGUGGUAAGUCACUUGUGAAAUCUCUGAGCUUAACUCAGAACGGUCAAGUGAUACUGCUGUGCUAGAGUGGCGGAAGGGGCAAUCGGAAUUCUUGGUGUAGCGGUGAAAUGCGUAGAUAUCAAGAGGAACACCUGAGGUGAAGACGGGUUGCUGGUCUAACACGUGACGCUGAGGCGACGAAAGCCAGGGGAGGCA
rnacentral:rRNA from 1 species